GGAUAUUGUUUAAACGGAUGUAACCAAACCUAUUGGGGCGACCUUUGUGAUAAACCCUGUCCUGAUGGAUGUAAAGAUCUUAAAUGUGAUAGAAACCAUGGUACAUGUACGGGUGGAUGUAAGGAUGGUCUAAUAGGAGAUGGAUGUUCUAAAACCACCACAGUCGCUAUACAAGAAAUACCAGUGACAACAACAACAGCAACAACAACAACAACAACAGCAACAAGAUCAGUCGAAAAUGAAACACAACAACAAUCACUUUUGCGACGUGACGAUAAAGCUAGUAAUUUUACCGUUGGUUAUUUCUCUGGAUUCGGAUCUUGUGUUGCCAUUGUAGUAUUUGCUGUAUUGUUUUAUCUUAUAAGACGAAGGUAUCUGACAAGUAAAACGCCCCAAGACAACAGACGUAACGUUGAGAUACCAACAUAUUA